CCCAGUGGCGGCGGUCUACUCAUGCAGUCGAGCGAGACCUUCAGGACUAGGCUCCGUACGGGUGAGUAACGCGAGGGAAUAUGCCCUUUGGUACGGACUACCCUCGGGAAAGUGAUAGCUACUACCGUAUGUGCCCUUCUGGGGAAAGAUUUGUCGCCCCACGAGUAGCCCCCGUUGGAUAAGGUAGCUGGUGGGGCAAUGGCCUACCCCCCCUACGAUCCAUAUCUGGGUUGAGAGGAUGAUCCACCACACUGGCAAUGAGACACCGACCUGACUCCUACAGCAGGCACCCUGGGGCAGUCUUACACCAUGGAGGACACCCUGAUCUAGCCAUGCCGCGUGAGCGAUGAAGGCCUUAAGGCUGAUGAGCUCUUUCCGCUGGAAUGAUAAUGGCUGUCCCAUCAUAAAACUCCGCGGCUAAGUCCGAGCCAGCACCCGCGGUCAUGCGGAUGCGCGUGUCGUAGCGUUCGUUCGGAAUUACUGGGCGUAAAGCGCACGUACGCGGACUGGAUAGUUGGAGGUGAAGAUCCCAGGGCUCAGCCUUGUAGCUGCCUUCAGCACUAUCAGGCGGGAUCUCGAGACGAGAGUGAGUGGACUUCCGAGUGUACCAGGUGAAGUUCGUAGAUAUCCGGAGGACCUCCAUGGGCAGAAGGCGGCUCACUGGCUCGAUACUAGACGCUGAGGUGCGAAAGUGUUGGGGAGCAAUCACGAUGUACGAUACGCUGCGUAUCUCCGCCCCGUACACAAUCAAUGCCACUCAUCGGGCAGCAUGCUGCUCGAUGACACACCUAAGCGGAGUAAGCAUUGCGCGAUGGGGAGUCGAGUCGCAAGAUUAGAACUCAAACGAAUUGACGGGGGACGGCACAAGCGGGAGAGCACGUGAAGAACUUUGAAGCAAUCGCGCAGAACCUUACCAACCCGUGGCAUCAUAGGAUCGCCGGAGAGAGUAGGGUUUCUAGUAAGAGACACAAGUGUCAGCAGCUGCAGUGCUGUGAUCAGCUCGUGUCUCGAGAUGCAUGGGCAAGUCCGGCAUACGAGCGCAACUCACGUCCUUAGUCGCCAGCAGGUUAAGCUGGGCGAUAUACGGAAACAAGGGAGGAUAAGUGGGAGGAAGGCGUGGACGAUGUCACGUCGUCAUGGCCCGUGCGGCAUGGGAUGCACCCGUGGGACAACGGCAGUGGCAAGGGGUUAAUUCCAAAAAGCUAUUUCACUUUGGAGAGGGGUGUGCAACUCUACCCCACGAAGUGCGAAUAGCUAGUAAUAAGCGGAGCAGCACGCCGCGGUGAAAAUGUUCCCGGGCGUCGUACACACCGCCCGUCGCACCAUGGGAGUAGGUUGUACCCGACGACGGUGCGGUAGUCACUAGGGAGGCAGCGCACCGAAGUAGAUCAGGAAAGG
rnacentral:rRNA from 1 species